GUCACAUCUAAGCUUCCACAAAUAACACAGUAACAAGGAUUCAAAAAAAAAUGGGACAAAAAUAAAAUAAACCACAAACAAGUAAACAUCAAGUUGACGUGACAUAACUAUGUCACAUCUAGAUGUGACAUAACUAUGUCACAUCUAGAUGUGUAUAGACCCUUAUGUUUCCUCUUUCAUGGCCUCGCGUCUGUUAAGCUCACAAUCUCUAUUGACUUGCAUACAGAGAAAUUAAUUGGCUUAUAUUUUCCUUUUUUCUGUUCAGUCAGUGCAAGCCAGCCGAGCUGUACCCAUGAUGAAGCCUAAACUUUUGGGCGAUACUCUGCGCCGGUGCACCGGCCAAACGAUUCGGCCGGUCCACCUAGGACCGUAGGAUUCCUAGCGAUGCCAAUGAUUGCUAGCCAUCGGAUAUGCCUCUCCCGCUUUGUCCUUCUUCUUCAGCGAGCGCCGCAUAUCAGCUACAGGAUGCUGCGGCGCUAUCGACCCCCCGCCAUAAUCCCCCGCGAGGCGACCGAGUCCGAAGCACCGCCGCACGCCGGGCUCGCCGACGUUCGCCGCCCUCACGCAAUCUCCUCCUCCCGCUCAAAAAUUGAUCCAUGGAGGCACGUAUCCUCGCCGGUUCCAACAUGAAAAAUCCUCAUGCGCGCCAUCAGAUGCAGCUCCCGCCUCGUUGAUGAUUGCAGCUCCGUCGUCAUCCCCCGCUUGCAGCUCAGCUCCGCCGUCGUCCCCUGCCUGCAGCUCCGCCGCCGUCCCCUGCUUACAGCUUAUCUCCGCAGUCGAUGGACCAAUGGAGACGACGAAGUAACUCGCAAAAAAUCACUAUAUAUGGUUCCAACAACCAAAUUUGCCGCUUGUAGCAUUUCAAGUCGCUGGUUGAAGCUCAUUUUGCAAUGGUCGAAGAAUUCAGGCCACCUGGUUCCAGCAUAUUACCCGCAGGUUCCUCAUCGCCGUCAAGGUCGCAGUAUCAUUGUGUUCGCUGUCUACCACCAUCUUAGCAAACUCUGUUAGUAGCAAUCUGACAUCUCUGGUAGUAGCAAAACUCCGAUACGGUUGCAGCAACAAAAAUCCAUCGCCGCCGUCGAGCAACGCCGCCGUGGAUGGAAGUAGCAAAAAUUGACUUUGGUUCUAGCAAAAUCAAACAUGGUUGUAGCAAAAAUAAUCGAUCAGAAAAACACAGGGAUGUAGCAUCUCGUGAGAAUGAAUGUAGCAAUCGUCAACACCCGUGGUAACAAAAAACUGACAAAAAGGUUGCAUCAAGAAACACACUCCUGGGUCUCGCAUAUCAUGAAGAUCGGAUGUAGCAAGAAUUCGACAAACACAGGCAGUAACAAAAAAUCAAAACGGUUGUAGCAAAAUCGUUCGCCGGUUCUAGCAAAAAAACACCAUGGGAGGAGAUUUGGGGCGGGGGUGGGUGGAAGCAAAAACAUGAGCCGGUUCCAGCAAAAUCAAAACAAGGUUGUAGCAAAAUCAAAACAAGGUUGUAGCUAGACAGGACGUUGGUGGUAGCAAUUUUCAUUGCCGGUUGUAGCAUGUAGCACAAAAAUCCGCGCCGCUCGUCCUCGCCAAAUGUUGCUUGGAGCAGCGCUGCCCGUCCUCGCCGUCCGUGGUCACCACGCUCAUCUAGCCCCUCGUCUCCAACAAACAAGGAUGGUGGUAGCAAAAAAGUUGGCUGAAUCCAGCAAAAAAAGAACACGGUGGUAGCAAAUUAGGAAAAGAUGAGCCCCGGUUCCAGCAAACAAAGGAUGGUGGUAGCAAAAACUUGAAUGGAUCCAGCAAAAACAAAACACGGUGGAAGCAAAUUUUGGAGCUCUUUCCAGCAAAAACAAUGAUUCCAACAAAAAAAAUCAUCGUCUCCGUUUGCCGGCCACCGGGCGCAGUCACCAUCGUCGGCGGGCCACCCGGCGCAGGUCCCAGGACGACGGAUGACUGGUUCCAGCAUGGUUCGUCGCCGGUUCCGGCACGCGGCGCGGUCGUGCAGUAGGAGCCCGCCGUCGAUAAAAAAAAGCAUCGGCGUCGGCCAGGUCGAGCAUGCGAUGAUGUCCCCCCAUACAGCCCCGCCCAACCUCCCAAGCAUGACGCCCUCGCAUCUGGCCUGCUUCUCAGCUAGCGGCCAUUGCUGGGAUUAAAAGGGAAGUGUUGUUCGGCUCGACGGCAGUGAGAAGCUGGGCGCUGGGAUAGGCAGCAGAGAAAGAGAUGGGGAAAAAAUGAGUGGUACACGCAUGAGAGGAUAAGGAAGGAAGAUGCUUC
rnacentral:rRNA from 1 species